rnacentral:ncRNA from 1 species
UAAUUUGCAGUGAUAAAGAGGAGUAGUAAUUAUUUUCUUUAAAGAGAGGUUGCAUUUUGCUGUGAGCAACUAGGAAUUUAUUAUGAAGGGAACUUUGGAGCAAUAUUUUUUAGAAAGAUGGACUUAUGUCAAGAAGGGUGGAACCGCGGAAAAUAUUUUUCGUCCCUUUG